AACGAACGCUGGCGGCAUGCCUAACACAUGCAAGUCGAACGAGACCUUCGGGUAUAGUGGCGCACGGGUGCGUAACGCGUGGGAACCUGCCCUUAGGUUCGGAAUAACUCCCCGAAAGGGGUGCUAAUACCGGAUAAUGUCUUCGGACCAAAGAUUUAUCGCCUUUGGAUGGGCCCGCGUUGGAUUAGCUAGUUGGUAGGGUAAACGCCUACCAAGGCGACGAUCCAUAGCUGGUCUGAGAGGAUGAUCAGCCACCCUGGGACUGAGACACGGCCCAGACUCCUACGGGAGGCAGCAGUGGGGAAUAUUGGACAAUGGGCGAAAGCCUGAUCCAGCAAUGCCGCGUGAGUGAUGAAGGCCUUAGGGUUGUAAAGCUCUUUUACCCGGGAUGAUAAUGACAGUACCGGGAGAAUAAGCCCCGGCUAACUCCGUG
rnacentral:rRNA from 1 species